rnacentral:SRP_RNA from 1 species
GCUGGGUGUGGUGGUGCACACCUGUAAUCCCAGCUACCCAGGAGGCUGAGGCAUGAGAAUCAUUUGAACCUGGGAGGUGGAGGUUGCAGUGAGCCAAGAUUGUGCCACUGCACUCCAGCCUGGGCAACAGAGUGAGACCCUGUCUCAA